GGAGAAUUGGCCGAGAGGCUGAAGGCACACCCCUGCUAAGGGUGCAUAGGGGUAAAACCUCUAUCGAGGGUUCGAAUCCCUCAUUCUCCGCCA
rnacentral:tRNA from 2 species